GCGAUACAGGGUGACAGCCCCGUACACAAAAAUGCACAUGCUGUGAGCUCGAUGAGUAGGGCGGGACACGUGGUAUCCUGUCUGAAUAUGGGGGGACCAUCCUCCAAGGCUAAAUACUCCUGACUGACCGAUAGUGAACCAGUACCGUGAGGGAAAGGCGAAAAGAACCCCGGCGAGGGGAGUGAAAAAGAACCUGAAACCGUGUACGUACAAGCAGUGGGAGCACGCUUAGGCGUGUGACUGCGUACCUUUUGUAUAAUGGGUCAGCGACUUAUAUUCUGUAGCAAGGUUAACCGAAUAGGGGAGCCGAAGGGAAACCGAGUCUUAACUGGGCGUUAAGUUGCAGGGUAUAGACCCGAAACCCGGUGAUCUAGCCAUGGGCAGGUUGAAGGUUGGGUAACACUAACUGGAGGACCGAACCGACUAAUGUUGAAAAAUUAGCGGAUGACUUGUGGCUGGGGGUGAAAGGCCAAUCAAACCGGGAGAUAGCUGGUUCUCCCCGAAAGCUAUUUAGGUAGCGCCUCGUGAAUUCAUCUCCGGGGGUAGAGCACUGUUUCGGCAAGGGGGUCAUCCCGACUUACCAACCCGAUGCAAACUGCGAAUACCGGAGAAUGUUAUCACGGGAGACACACGGCGGGUGCUAACGUCCGUCGUGAAGAGGGAAACAACCCAGACCGCCAGCUAAGGUCCCAAAGUCAUGGUUAAGUGGGAAACGAUGUGGGAAGGCCCAGACAGCCAGGAUGUUGGCUUAGAAGCAGCCAUCAUUUAAAGAAAGCGUAAUAGCUCACUGGUCGAGUCGGCCUGCGCGGAAGAUGUAACGGGGCUAAACCAUGCACCGAAGCUGCGGCAGCGACACUAUGUGUUGUUGGGUAGGGGAGCGUUCUGUAAGCCUGUGAAGGUGUACUGUGAGGUAUGCUGGAGGUAUCAGAAGUGCGAAUGCUGACAUAAGUAACGAUAAAGCGGGUGAAAAGCCCGCUCGCCGGAAGACCAAGGGUUCCUGUCCAACGUUAAUCGGGGCAGGGUGAGUCGACCCCUAAGGCGAGGCCGAAAGGCGUAGUCGAUGGGAAACAGGUUAAUAUUCCUGUACUUGGUGUUACUGCGAAGGGGGGACGGAGAAGGCUAUGUUGGCCGGGCGACGGUUGUCCCGGUUUAAGCGUGUAGGCUGGUUUUCCAGGCAAAUCCGGAAAAUCAAGGCUGAGGCGUGAUGACGAGGCACUACGGUGCUGAAGCAACAAAUGCCCUGCUUCCAGGAAAAGCCUCUAAGCAUCAGGUAACAUCAAAUCGUACCCCAAACCGACACAGGUGGUCAGGUAGAGAAUACCAAGGCGCUUGAGAGAACUCGGGUGAAGGAACUAGGCAAAAUGGUGCCGUAACUUCGGGAGAAGGCACGCUGAUAUGUAGGUGAAGUCCCUCGCGGAUGGAGCUGAAAUCAGUCGAAGAUACCAGCUGGCUGCAACUGUUUAUUAAAAACACAGCACUGUGCAAACACGAAAGUGGACGUAUACGGUGUGACGCCUGCCCGGUGCCGGAAGGUUAAUUGAUGGGGUCAGCGCAAGCGAAGCUCUUGAUCGAAGCCCCGGUAAACGGCGGCCGUAACUAUAACGGUCCUAAGGUAGCGAAAUUCCUUGUCGGGUAAGUUCCGACCUGCACGAAUGGCGUAAUGAUGGCCAGGCUGUCUCCACCCGAGACUCAGUGAAAUUGAACUCGCUGUGAAGAUGCAGUGUACCCGCGGCAAGACGGAAAGACCCCGUGAACCUUUACUAUAGCUUGACACUGAACAUUGAGCCUUGAUGUGUAGGAUAGGUGGGAGGCUUUGAAGUGUGGACGCCAGUCUGCAUGGAGCCGACCUUGAAAUACCACCCUUUAAUGUUUGAUGUUCUAACGUUGACCCGUGAUCCGGGUUGCGGACAGUGUCUGGUGGGUAGUUUGACUGGGGCGGUCUCCUCCUAAAGAGUAACGGAGGAGCACGAAGGUUGGCUAAUCCUGGUCGGACAUCAGGAGGUUAGUGCAAUGGCAUAAGCCAGCUUGACUGCGAGCGUGACGGCGCGAGCAGGUGCGAAAGCAGGUCAUAGUGAUCCGGUGGUUCUGAAUGGAAGGGCCAUCGCUCAACGGAUAAAAGGUACUCCGGGGAUAACAGGCUGAUACCGCCCAAGAGUUCAUAUCGACGGCGGUGUUUGGCACCUCGAUGUCGGCUCAUCACAUCCUGGGGCUGAAGUAGGUCCCAAGGGUAUGGCUGUUCGCCAUUUAAAGUGGUACGCGAGCUGGGUUUAGAACGUCGUGAGACAGUUCGGUCCCUAUCUGCCGUGGGCGCUGGAGAACUGAGGGGGGCUGCUCCUAGUACGAGAGGACCGGAGUGGACGCAUCACUGGUGUUCGGGUUGUCAUGCCAAUGGCACUGCCCGGUAGCUAAAUGCGGAAGAGAUAAGUGCUGAAAGCAUCUAAGCACGAAACUUGCCCCGAGAUGAGUUCUCCCUGACUCCUUGAGAGUCCUGAAGGAACGUUGAAGACGACGACGUUGAUAGGCCGGGUGUGUAAGCGCAGCGAUGCGUUGAGCUAACCGGUACUAAUGAACCGUGAGGCUUAACCUU
rnacentral:rRNA from 1 species